GCUUUCUUCUCUCCUUUCUAUGGUACGUAGUACAUGACAGCAGCGUUUCUUUAUGUACAGGCGGCCAACGCAACCGAGAAGAGAAGGCGGGGAGCGGCGGCGCGAUGGACCGAAUCACAAGUUGCGACAGAGGCAACAAGGAGCCCAAUCGAAGAGGGAGGGCCAGAUGUCGCCGUGCCCUCGCCUCCGCCUCCGCCUCCGCCGCUGGAUCGCCCUGCCCGCCGGCGAAGGACGCCGUCGGGUCUCGGAGUCGGCCUUGCGCAGGAUCUCCCACAUGACGCGCACGUCCUCGUACUCGCACGUCCUCACCUCCUUCCGUAGCUUCUUCAGCCCUGUUCAUGGGAGGCGGCAGAGCGUCAGAAGCCCGGAUGGAUGAAUCAGGCCAUCCAUGGCGCGUGGGUGAGAGAACUUACCGGUCCUUUGGACGCCGAGACGGGUGGCGACGCCGAUCCACACUCGACGCGCCGGGAACACCACCACCCGCUCCCACCACGCCAUCCUAAGUCCCUUCCCCUCUUCUCUUCCUCCGACGAGAGAGAAAGAGAAGAGUUGCCGUCCCUGGUUGUGGAGGAAGCGUCUCUUAUUCUGCAGCGAGGUGCAGGGGCGAAAGAACGCGUGAUCAGCGUCGUCGACAGCCCCCGCGACGCGGGCUUGGGAAGUGGCGUCGUCCGCACGCGUCGAUGCUCCAGUGGGCGGGGUGAUGUUUCUCGACUUCCUUUGAAUUCUGCACGCCAUCUGUUUGCGUUCGGGCCCAAGUGUCGAUGCUCCAGAGCAUGGAACCCUCAUGAAUUCUUAGGGACGUGUCUCCGUCUGAAUCGAUUUUAAUUCUCAGGUUCGGUAGGAGAAAUGGAUACCCAUUGGGUUUGGGUUCGAUCCAGAUUUGUGAGUGCCACACCCAUCGCCAUCGCUAAUGCUGGACUAAUUCGUUUUACGUAAAGGUAAAAUUACAAAUAUCUUCCAUACUAAGUUAUCCACCGUUGGAUCCAACAUUUUUGCGUGUGACCCCACAGCUGGGUGGCCCUCCUUGUUCUGGGUAGCUUUCUGAGGGUUGGCGGACGGUAGUGAGUAUGGAAAGGCAGGUAGAUUUGGAUCUGUCAAGAUGGCUCGUUUCAUUUAACCCGCUUGAGUACAUACUGCGACGAGAGACUUCAUGUCUCUGGUGACAGACAUGAAGCUGUAGUUAGGUCUGAGAGGCGAGAUGAAGAUGAGGGAGUGUGAAUAAGAGAUGCGCUCGAUCGCCAUUUCCUCGUCGCCGACCUCCUAGCGGUGGCGCUCCUAGCCCUCUCCGAAGGGUUGGCCUCCGCCUCCGCCCCUGCCGCUUCCGUCGUUGGUCGUCGAUCCUCGUGUCCAGAUCAAGGUCCGCGAGGUCGGCAACCGGACCGCCAUGUCCAAGGCGAAACCGAUGUUGGCGUCGUCCAGCCCAAGGAGUACUGGGAUUACGAGUCCAUACAAUGAGGUACUUCAUGUGAACCAGUUGUAUACUUUUGGCAUGUUUCUUGGUAUUUCCAUGUUUCAGAUUUUUAUUUACAGUUGAUAACCAGCCUUCUAAGAAUUGUGGGCUGACGGAAAAAAUGUCUAGAUGGAAGGAUCCCAGUUCCUGAAACAAGUUCCUCGUCAUGUAAUUUUUAAUUUGGUUCCUUUUUGUUUGGGUUUGAUACGUUACGUACUUACGAAUGUUGGGUGGGUAAUCUUAAGAUGGUUGAACUUUUCAAAAUGAAUUUUCUUUUGCAGAUCUAA